GUUACCAGCACGUUAGUGGCGGGCACUCUAAGGAGACUGCCGGUGACAAACCGGAGGAAGGUGGGGAUGACGUCAAGUCAUCAUCGGCCCUUACCGGCCGUGGGCUACACACGUGCUACAAUGGUCGGUACAAAGGGUUGCCAAGCCGCGAGGUGGAGCUAAUCCCAUAAAACCGAUCGUAGUCCGGAUCGCAGUCUGCAACUCGACUGCGUGAAGUCGGAAUCGCUAGUAAUCGUGAAUCAGAAUGUCACGGUGAAUACGUUCCCGGGCCUU
rnacentral:rRNA from 1 species